AGAUUUUAAUUUUAGAGAAAAGAGAUUUUUUUUUCCAUCUUCUUCCAGAAAUACACUUAAGGUCUUGAAAAAUCUAUUUUCUUCCACUUGCAAAUAUUCCACAGUGAGGAAAAAUCUGGAUUUGAAGCUUUCUGGCAAGUACUUCAGGAGCAUGGCCAUGCAGUAUUCUGCAGAGCGAUGGCACCUGGCUGGGGGAGAAUGACACACAUGGGAAUUUCAUUGGACAAGAAUAUGCUGCUAACAAAGGAAAAUGAGCUGAUGAUUCUCCC